UCCCUCCAAUUUAUUGGUCUCCAAUUCCAGUCUGCUCAUGCCGCCGGGAGUUCUUCCCCACAUCGGCGGCAAAGGUCCAAGUUUUCUCCGUCAGCAAUGUUGAAGAAAGUCGACGACAAGUCAGAUUGGUGGGUUGUUGACGGGGAAAUGCACGAAAUUGGUGAAAAUGUACCGCCCAGGGAGAGAUUCGUAAUCUCAAGACAGAACAUCCCUAACAAGCGUCGUAAGCAGCUUCGCGAACAGUUCAUGCGCCGUACUCGCCUAGUCCUUAAAGAAUCUGAGCAUGAACCAUGGUGCAAAAGAUAUAUGGAAUUGUAUAAAGAGAUGAGAGAGAACUGGGAGAGGCUAUAUUGGGAUGAGGGUUAUUCCAAAAAGCUUGCUCAAGAUCAUGCAAACUAUGAUUCUGCUGAAGAUGAUGAUGAAGAUUUCUCUCCAUACAGGAGAAGUAGACCUAAUGCUGACCAAAUGAAGGAACAAGGAGGAGUUACAGGGAGAAACAGACAAGGUGAUAACUGGGAAAAGGUUAGCCUAAUCCGUGAUAAAUUUGAGUACGACAGAGAGAGAAGAAUGAGAGAAAAAGCAUUUGCACCUAUGAGUGAAGCAAACAACAUUGGUAUGGAUUACUCAACUCCGAAGUACCAGGCCUCUGACACUCGGAGAUACAUAUCUGACAGCGAUAGUGACAUUGACUGACCGAAAAGACAGCCACCUUUCAGAAACUAGCAUCAAUUGUCUAUUUUGUUUGCGAGCAACUUUCAUAUGACACAGAUGAUAACUUAAUGUGUGUACAAGCAGGGCAUUGCAACAACACAACAAAGUUUAUGGGGCUUUCUUGAUCAACUAGUAGACUUGCAUGAAGAAAGAGACCGAUGUUGAAAAUGUACAAUAAAUUCCUUCGAAGUCACCUGCAUGAGCUCAAUUCAGAUAUCCAUAAAGGGGUGUGCUUAGUGUCUUGUAUAAUUCGGAAGCAGACUUCUCUACACUGUUGCUUUUCUACUGCGCUACCUGUGGGAAGUUUCUUAGCUUGGGACAGUGAAGGGAGCAUUGCUCCCAACCAACUGACAAUAAUGGUUAUGCUGCGAACACAAUUUCUUUGGGGGUUUAGCAAAACCUCUUUGAACUUGCUGCUAGUGCUCAUGUUGG
rnacentral:misc_RNA from 1 species